GGGUUGUGAGGUUAAGCGACUAAGCGUACACGGUGGAUGCCCUGGCAGUCAGAGGCGAUGAAGGGCGUGCUAAUCUGCGAUAAGCGCCGGUAAGGUGAUAUGAACCGUUAUAACCGGCGAUACCCGAAUGGGGAAACCCAGUGUGAUUCGUCACACUAUCAUUAACUGAAUCCAUAGGUUAAUGAGGCGAACCGGGGGAACUGAAACAUCUAAGUACCCCGAGGAAAAGAAAUCAACCGAGAUUCCCCCAGUAGCGGCGAGCGAACGGGGAGGAGCCCAGAGCCUGAAUCAGCAUGUGUGUUAGUGGAAGCGUCUGGAAAGGCGCGCGAUACAGGGUGACAGCCCCGUACACAAAAGCGCAUAUGCUGUGAGCUCGAUGAGUAGGGCGGGACACGUGGUAUCCUGUCUGAAUAUGGGGGGACCAUCCUCCAAGGCUAAAUACUCCUGACUGACCGAUAGUGAACCAGUACCGUGAGGGAAAGGCGAAAAGAACCCCGGCGAGGGGAGUGAAAAAGAACCUGAAACCGUGUACGUACAAGCAGUGGGAGCCCCACCACUAAGCCAGUGGUGAACUCCACAUACGCAUCCUUUGCUGAGGAGACGGUUAACGGAGCGAAAGCGACGUUCAACCUCAAAAGAAGCAGAGGGGGCUUAGUGGUGGGGUGACUGCGUACCUUUUGUAUAAUGGGUCAGCGACUUAUAUUCUGUAGCAAGGUUAACUGUAUAGGGGAGCCGGA
rnacentral:rRNA from 1 species